rnacentral:lncRNA from 10 species
GAGGGAAGGAGGAGUGGAUACAAACAAUGGCCAAUGAUGGAUGAAGGAACACCUGGGGUUGCAAGGUGUAGACUUGAGAUAACUGGUGGAUGCAGCCAAUAGCGAUAAUGGGAGUGCCCAGGCUCCGGCACGGCCUGCUACACAGAGGUGAAUGUCAGACUAGCCACUUGACUCCCUUUGACAAUCCUCCGAGAAUUCCCUACUGCAAAUGCAAUCACCAUUUCUUUUCAUUUUUCUUUUUGUAAAAUAUAUCCACCUACUCAAAGAGACAGAUGCUAGGCAGGGUAAAAAGAGGCAGAAGUUAGGCAAGACUGUUUUGUUCAGCACCCAAGAAUGUUAAUCCUCAGAGUUGUGCCCUGAAGAUUAACAGCCUCAUUUUCUGAUGAGGACACUGAGGCCAAGAAAGGAAAAGUGACUUGAUUCAAGGCACACAGCUAGGAAGUAAUGGCGUUGGGUGUUACACCUGUCUGUCUAUUGCAAAGCCUUCCAAACCUGCUCAGUUUCUCCACUGCAGGGAUGUCAGACCAAGGGCCUUUCUCUGCCCCUUCUAUGUAAGCAGGCAGGUGGGUAUUUGCUCUACGGAUGAAGCUGGAUCUGCCUCUGCUGUUGUGGGAGACAUGAGGACAGAGGCUGCAGCUCUUGGACUAAGCUCUGCUGCUUUCAAGCUGUGUGGUCUUGGGCAAAUCACUCAGGUUCUCCGAGGCUCUGUCUCAUCACCUGUCAAAGGCAGAUAAUGAAUCCUUCCUGUUGCAGGCAUUGAGAGGAUUAAGCUGGAUUAGACUUUCAGACUUACCUCUAUUGUGAUGGUGGAAGUACAGAGUGAAAUGAAAACAGAGAGAGUAGACAUCUCUCUCUUAACGUAAUGGAAGCAAGGAAGGCUGUAGGAAAGAAGAGACAGCUGAGACCUGGAGGAUGAAUGAGGAACUGGCUUCAACAGGAGGAUGGAAUUCAAAUACCUGUCGUGUUCAAGACAGCCCCAUGGGGAUUAUAGGUGGAUGUCAGAACUAUACCCAGAUUCAGACAUGUGACACUUUCGGGCUGAAGCACUUAAGAGCCAGUGUGCCCUGUCCAUUUCUGUCUUCUGUCCUGUGGAUUUGGAAGCAUGUGUUGACAGAACAAUGUCUUAUGGUGAAGGAAGCCUAAACCCCUGAGUCAUUGGAUGGAGGAGAGCCCAUGUUGACCCAUAAAGGACUUCAUGGUCUCGCUCUGUCACCCAGGCUGGAGUGCAGGCGUGCUAUCUUGGCUCACUGCAACUUCUGCUUCCCGAGUUCAAGAGAUCCUCAUACCUCAGCCUCCUGAGUAGCCGGGACUACAGGCAUGCGCCACCACACCCAGAUAUGACUUAGAAUAUGAUUGAAUAUGAAUACAUGAUUGAAGAUAUAUUAUAAAAUUGAGAUACUUGUUGCAACACAACAGGGAAAUGAAUACAGAAGGGCUCAAAGUAUUUUAUAGAGGGUAUACGAGCAAUUUGACGUCGCAGAAAACCUGUCAGAAAGAAGCACCAUGGAAUAGAGGAAAGAGGCCCGGAAUCCAGCCCCGGGAACUGUGACAGCCUCUGG